rnacentral:rRNA from 1 species
CCUACGGGAUGCAGCAGUGGGGAAUAUUGGGCAAUGGGCGCAAGCCUGACCCAGCAACGCCGCGUGAAGGAAGAAGGCCUUCGGGUUGUAAACUUCUUUUGUCAGGGACGAAGAAAGUGACGGUACCUGACGAAUAAGCCACGGCUAACUACGUGCCAGCAGCCGCGGUAAUACGGAGGAUGCGAGCGUUAUCCGGAUUUAUUGGGUUUAAAGGGUGCGCAGGCGGAGGCACAAGUCAGCGGUAAAAUCGCGGGGCUCAACCCCGCUCCGCCGUUGAAACUGUGUCCCUUGAGUGCGCGAAGGGUAGGCGGAAUGCGUGGUGUAGCGGUGAAAUGCAUAGAUAUCACGCAGAACUCCGAUCGCGAAGGCAGCCUACCGGCGCGCAACUGACGCUCAUGCACGAAAGCGUGGGUAUCGAACAGGAUUAGAUACCCUUGUAGUC